CCCCCCGCCCCUCGAGAUGAGGGUCUGAGGUAUUUUUUUGCGGCGCUUAACUGCUCGGCGAAAAACCCUACACACAGUGUCUUUUUGAUACAGAACUCUGGCUUUGGUUUGGCCUAGAGAUAGGGUGGGCCAGAGGUCUAACAAAACACGAUUUAAUUUUUUUUACAGACAGUCAAAUUUUGAAUUAAUCUUCAAAACUUUCAACACCGGAUCUCUUGGUUCUCGCAUCGCUCAAGAAGGCAUGCCAAUGCGAUAAGUAAUAUGAAUUGCGGAUUUUCGUGAAUCAUCUAAUCUUUGAACGCACAUUGCGCCCUCUGGCAUUCCAGAGGGCAUGCCUGUUUGAGCGUCAUUUCUCUCUCAAACCCCCGGGUUUGGUAUUGAGGGAUACUCUUAGACUGACUAGGCGUUUGCAAGAAAAUAAUUGGCGUGGUGAGAACUGGCUAGCGCUGCCGACCUCUCAAUCAAUUAGGUUUAACCAACCCGUUGCAUGAAGUCGCGGGAUAUUUUGUGGUAUUGUUGGCCCGGCCUUACACCCACCAAACAAGUUUGACCUCCAUUCCGGUAGGAAUACCCGCUGAACUUUGGCAUAUCUUUUACCGGCAAGAA
rnacentral:rRNA from 1 species